GACGAACGCUGGCGGCGUGCUUAACACAUGCAAGUCGAACGGAAAGGCCCUGCUUUUGUGGGGUGCUCGAGUGGCGAACGGGUGAGUAACACGUGAGUAACCUGCCCUUGACUUUGGGAUAACUUCAGGAAACUGGGGCUAAUACCGGAUAGGAGCUCCUGCUGCAUGGUGGGGGUUGGAAAGUUUCGGCGGUUGGGGAUGGACUCGCGGCUUAUCAGCUUGUUGGUGGGGUAGUUGCUUACCAAGGCUUUGACGGGUAGCCGGCCUGAGAGGGUGACCGGCGACAUUGGGACUGAGAUACGGCCCAGACUCCUACGGGAGGCAGCAGUGGGGAAUAUUGCACAAUGGGAGGAAGCCUGAUGCAGCAACGCCGCGUGCGGGAUGACGGCCUUCGGGUUGUAAACCGCUUUAGCCUGUGACGAAGCGUGAGUGACGGUAAUGGGUAAAGAAGCACCGGCUAACUACGUG
rnacentral:rRNA from 1 species